UUAAAUUGAAGAGUUUGAUCAUGGCUCAGAUUGAACGCUGGCGGCAGGCCUAACACAUGCAAGUCGAGCGGUAACAGGAAGCAGCUUGCUGCUU
rnacentral:rRNA from 1 species